rnacentral:rRNA from 1 species
AAUUUCGGUUGAUCCUGCCGAAGGAUACUGCUAUUGGAUUACGAUUAAGCCAUGCGAGUCUAAAGGUCUUCGGACCUUGGCAAACUGCUCAGUAACACGUGGAUAAUCUACCCUCAAGUAAGGAAUAAUCCCGGGAAACUGGGGCUAAUACCUUAUAGGAACAGGUUGCUGGAAUGCUCCUGAUCUCAAAGCUCCGGCGCCUGAGGAUGAGUCUGCUUCCUAUCAGGUUGUAGUCAGGGUAAUGGCCUGACUAGCCAGCGACGGGUACGGGGUGUGAGAGCACUUGCCCGGAGAUGGUUUCUGAGACACGAAACCAGGCCCUACGGGGCGCAGCAGGCGCGAAAACUUCGCAAUGCGGGAAACCGUGACGAGGGAACUCCAAGUGUCUAUGCAAUGCAUAGACUGUUUUUCAGCCUAAAUAGCUGUUAGAGUAAGAGGUGGGCAAGACCGGUGCCAGCCGCCGCGGUAACACCGGCACCUCAAGUG